AUUGAACGCUGGCGGCAUGAUUUACACAUGCAAGUCGAACGGUAACAGGCCGCACGGUUCUGACGAGUGGCGAACGGGUGAGUAAUGCAUCGGAACGUGCCCAGUCGUGGGGGAUAACUACUCGCAAGAGUAGCUAAUACCUCAUACGAUCUAUGGAUGAAAGCGGGGGACCGUAAGUCCUCGCGCGAUUGGAGCGGCCGAUGUCAGAUUAGGUAGUUGGUGGGGUAAAGGCUCACCAAGCCAACGAUCUGUAGCUGGUCUGAGAGGACGACCAGCCACACUGGGACUGAGAAACGGCCCAGACUCCUACGGGAGGCAGCAGUGGGGAAUUUUGGACAAUGGGCGCAAGCCUGAUCCAGCAAUGCCGCGUGCAGGAAGAAGGCCUUCGGGUUGUAAACUGCUUUUGUACGGAACGAAACGGCUCUGGUUAAUACCCGGGGCUAAUGACGGUACCGUAAGAAUAAGCACCGGCUAACUACGUG
rnacentral:rRNA from 1 species